ACAUAUUUAAAACAGUUCAUGUGACUACAGUGGUUCAACCUUAAUGUUAUGAAGCAACAAGAAUACUUUUUAUAUGCCAAAAAAAACAAAUAAAGACUUUAUUCAACAAUAUAUAGUGAUGGGUUUGGAUACAGUCAGUUUGAUACAGACUCCGAACCACUGAUUCGAAACAAAAGAUUCGUAAAGCUUCAUGAAACAGUUGAAUAAAUUGUUGAAUAAAGUCGUUCAUCACGUUCAUCAUGUUUUCAGGCCAUUUCGAGUUUGAUUUUGACAUGAAAUAAAGAGUUAAUAUCUAAGUGACAGUUGUUUACUUACUUUUUAAUUAGUCUUUUCAUUAACACAAUCACUGUCUUCAUUCAGGCUGAUUCGACGAGAAUGAGCCAGAAAACAAGAGGCGGGAAUUAUCGCAUGAACCAAUCAUGUCCAAUCCUAACAGAUCAUAUCCAAUCAUAGCACAGUUGAGGCAUUGCCUCCUCUCACGUGACUUUCCUCCAUUCAUUCUCAAUUACCCCCCCUAAACCCACUGCACGCUGUUUGACAGUGUUUCUUUAGAAAAACAAGUGACUUUUACACUUUUUAAUGUCAAAUUUUGUAACAUUUGCGUUGUUUUAUUUUUGUAAUAUUGAUUAUUUUGUCAUCCAGUUUUUUGCCCCUGAAUUUGACCAUAUAUGGUUGUUGUACACACACACACACACACACACACUGUGGACACAACAUUAUGUCCAAAAACAAUUGUUAAAUUUGCAUAAUAAAAAUAUUAUCAUUAAUUUUAUUUAUACUGCGCUUUUCCCAAACUCAAAGCGCUACACAGGAUAAGAAUACACAAUAACAAAAAUAAAGUUAACAUAAAUAACAGCAAUACUCAAUGACAAUAGACAGCUUUAAAAAGAUUCUUUAGAGACUUCAUAAAACAGUCCAGUGAUGGAGAAUUUCUGAUCACCAAAGAAAGAACAUUCCAUAACCGUGUGCUGACACAGAAAAAGCUUAAUCUCCCCUAGACUUUAAUUUAAAUGAAGGCUGCUGAAGAGUACAUGAACCAGGAAAACAGAGAGAGCGAGUCAAAAUGAACACCAAGAUUGCGCACUUGAGACGAUGGAGACAAUGAAUCAAACUCAGUAAACAAAUUGAGAUUAUUAAAUUUAUGCAAAGCCAUUGACAUACCAAAAAAUAAAUGUUUAGUUUUUGACUAAUUGAUUUUAAGAAAAUUGUCUUGCAUCCACGCUUCCAAAUAAGUAGUAAGAGCUGUGAUUGCUAUGUUAGGAUCAGCGUGUGUGCUGACAUAAAUCAGUGUAUAAUAAGCAUAAUUGUUAUUUUUAAUAUUUUAUAAUUGUAAACCCCAGAUCAUAAUUUUGAAUGAUGUCUCCAAGAGGCAACAUAUAUUUGCUAAGCAAAAUGGGCCCUAACACAGACCCCUGCGGGACACCUUGCUGAACUAAUGUUGGUUCGGAUUUAUUUUCCCCCAGACAUACAUAAUAAUCAGUGAGAUAGGAUUUAAACCAUUCAAACACAGCACCAGAGAUGUCUAACCAACCACGCAAUCUUUAAUGAAGGAUGGUAUGACAUACUGUGUCAAAAGCAGCACUGAUGAGUCUAGGUCUGUUGGUGUAUGUAUAUCCAGGCAGCAUGGCCAAAUUUAGACUGUAACAGCCAUUUGGUGAUACCAUGUCUCACAGAGGGAGAAAGUCAAGUUUUCAUUGCUGAAUGACAUCCUUAAGCAAUGCUGCUUUCUUGUUCAUUGAAUGCACGUUUAAUUGAACGAGUCUGUUUUCUGAGGUUACAUUCUUGUCGCACUUCUUUGAAGACAUCUGAGAAUAUAAAAUGUAAAAAUGUUUAAAAUGUACUGAAACUCCAGAUUAUGAGCAAAGUACAUUUAUACCAGCAGGCGAAGCACCCAUACAAGAGCCGUGAAUAUCUUGGCCGACGCAAAAGUUGAAAUGAGCACAAAGUUCUUUGAGCAGUUGCAGCAAUUGUGGCAGUAAUAAGAUGGUCAAGUAAACAUGAGUGAAGCUCCUGAACCUGACUCUGAUUCAUCAAUCAGUAACAUGGAUGAACCUACAAUCAAAGUAACAAGGGAGUCCACUAGAAGAGAAACGGGAGAAAAACUAAGGCUGCUGUUUCUUCUGACUGUGACCACAGUCGGACACACCCUGAACCUCUCGCUGCCCACACUGGCCUCCCACAACACUUUUACAACCUUCUCACAGCAUUUACGCAACCUUUUAAUAGCGUCUGCGUUCUGCCGCUCAGGGUUUACGAAGCCUCAAGCUCUCUAGAUGUCACAUGAGGAUCCAUCACGAUCCAGGUUAUGCUUAGAACUGGUUUUGCUGGUGUUUUCUGGUGUGGGCUGAUGGUUUUCAUGAUCUCAUGUUCCCAGGCAACAUGCAGACUGAUAAAAUAUAAAUUAUGAAGUCACUAUGGAUGAAAGCAUCUGCCAGAUGCACACAGAUAAAUGUAAGUUUGGAUUUGGCCGCUGCAGCUCACAUUCAUUUAUGCUUUCAAUUGUUUUUAUUACAUUGCAUGAGUGUAUUUGAGGUGUGUUUCAGUCUGCACAGGUUUCAGGUUUUCCCCACACACUCAUCCAUUAACAUGACAUCACACUGACACACAGAGGGAUACUCUCUAUCCAUAAUGUGGUUUGGUGGUUUUUUUUGUUUGUUUGUUUCAUCUUUCUCAUGGGAAAUAGAUACUUUCAUACUCCUCAUUUGGAUGAGGUCACUUUUGAUGAAAGUUUCUGCUUAAUGGAUAAUAUGAAUAAAAAUAUAAUGACAUUUUGUUUGUUAUUUCAACUUCUCUAUGGCUGUUGUGGGUUCAAGUUAAAGUGCUUGAGAUUAUGUUUAUAGUUUGUCAAAUCAAAGCCUCAUAAAUGUUCUUCCGUGUCUCCGGGAAACUGUGCCAGGACAACCGGAGCGCUCUGGGAAGCAGCUCUAGACCGAAGCGAGAGGAAACCCGCAUGUUUUUGAGGAAUCAAUCAGUGCUGAAGGAAGUUCGCAGUUUGAGCAGAUUUCAAUGCAAAUGAGCUUUAUUUUAGAGCAGAAUUCCACAGCUUUCUGAACGCCGUCUCCUUGGUUUCAUUUUCCCAACAGUUCGUAGAAGAGAGUCCACAGCAAACACUUACUGUACAAUGUGUUCACUGUCAAGCUGCUGCACACAUUCCUGCACAGAUAUCAGCUUUUUAUUGGCCCAGCUGACAGGAAACGUUCUCAGAAUUUUGGCUAAAAUGUUCUCUCAAAGUUAUGAAGAAACGUUCUUCUGGUAAUGUUCGUUCAACGCCAACUGGUCUUUAAUAAUGUUCUCUAAACAUUAGGUUUUGUCACAAUACACAUUACUACUAACCACUUUUGGUCAGUGAUGAUAUAAAAAAAAAAAAAAAUCCUAUACCUAUCCUUUCACUUCCUUUAAUCCCUCUCUAUUGUAGCUUAUGAUACCCUGAGCACUGCCUAUAACAUGUAUUGUCAGCACUUAUUGUCUAUUUGCCUAGUCAUGAUGACUCGCUUGUUGUAUUCCUUACUUGUAAGUCGCUUUGGAUAAAAUGAAUAAAUGUAAAUGUAAUCACUUUUUUUAUGAUGAUGAUGAAAAAUAUAUCACCUAAUCAUCUCCAUUUCUGGCUUUACAACAAAUUAUGUGUUUUGAUAAAUAAAUAAAAAUCAAGAGUCAAAAUGAAACACUGAUCCCCACAAUGGCGACCAAACAUUUUCAAUAAAACAUCAACAUCUAAACCUCUGUUAAUUCUCAAAAAAAAAAAAAAAAAAAACUGUAUACAAAUGAUAGAAAUAAAGUCAGUCGGUUUGUAAAAAGAGAGAUUUAAUGUAUUUUCAGUUGAUUUCAUAAGGCUGUGGCUGGAAGUUCAGUUGUUUUGCUUGCGUUUAUCUUUUCUUCAGUGAUUCUGUUCGUUAACAUCAGGUGUCUUCAAUAAUCAAACCAUCAACACUCAAUUAAUAACUUAAGUAUCUAAUUAACUCUAUCACUGUUUCAUUGUUACUUUUAACACCCUGCUGGUAGUUCACAUACAGAAUGGUGGUAAUUUAACACUGGGGAAUUUAGGCGAAUAGGCCUAUAAGUUGGAAGUAGGCCUACUAUAUAUCCAACUUUUAAUAUAGGACUGGCAGUAAUAUAGUUGACGUAUUUAGGACAUAUUACAGUACCGUAAAUGUUCCCUGUCUGUAGUGUCUCAGGGUUUGUGUGUCUGAAUCACACUCGAUCUACUACAAAACCACUGGAUUAUCAUGUCGUUUCAUGUCAUCACCGCUGAAUCAUUUGUAUGGUGAGAGUAGGAGUAAGAUGACUGAAUCCUGUAUAAUGCAGAUUCCAGUCGAGCCCACUGCUCAUGUUCAGACUUGAUCACCUGAUGCCAAUGAACAUUCUCUGAUUGGUUGAACAUGUUAAACUCAUCAUCAUCAUCAUCAUGUGUUUGUGAAGCUAUUUCAACCUGUAGUUUACCAAGAAGCUGUACAAGCUCAUAGUACAAAGUAUUAAAUUAUUACAAAAAAGACUUAAAAGUGACUCAAAUGAAUCAGUUAUUUGAAUCACUUUAGCUAUUGAAAUGACUCCUCAGUUGCCUCAAGAAGCUGCAUUCAGGCCAAAAUUAGCAUUUAUUUGAUUAAAAUACAGAGAAAAUUGUAAACAUAAAAAAAAAAAAAAAAUCUUAAUUGUUCCAAACUUUGACCGGUAAAGUCAGAGAUCUCAAUAUAAACUCAAACAUUUCUCAUCACAUUCAUUUUUUAGCUUUAGACUCUUACUAUACUAGCAGAAACAUUUGAAAAACAUGCUCUUUUCUUUUCAUCUAAGCAUUGAAAUGCUAAUGUUCUGGCCGCAGAAGCUCUGAUGAUGUCAGAUCCUGCUCUAUACUGUCUAUUAAUGGCACAACAGCAUUUAAAUCUGUGUGAAAGGAGUCAUAAAGAGUCAUUCUUCUGCAGGACAAAGCUCUGAUUAUGUGUUGGGAUGGGACUGGAUGCUCGGCUACCCUUCGCCACAUUCCUCCCUCGCAGAACCGCUGGACGUCUCUUGAUCUUCAGCUUCUGGUCGAGCGUUCAGUGUUGUGCUGGUGAGACAGAGAGGCGAUUGAGAAGAGACAGAACGCGAACAUGCUGUCAGGAUGAGACACAUAUUCAAUCCUGUCAAACUCUGAUCAGAACAUCUGAAACACAUCAACAUCACAAUAGACCGUAGACAUUUUUAAUUUUUGUCAGGAAUGAAAACGAGGCCGUGAUAUCAUUCAUUCAAUGGAUUGUACUGUUGUUAAACAACAUGCCAAUUGUUCAGCUGAUGAAACGGCUUUCCAAAAACUUUCAGAACAUAAAACAGUUUUGAAAGUGCAGCUCCUGUCUCUUUGAAUGGGGAAACAUCAAAUUCUCCAAAGCGCUUGCCAAGCUUUCGAUUAAAUUUCAUAUUUGUAAUCACCAAUGAAAUCUGACAACAACUGUUUCAUACAAUUUGUUUCUAAACGCUCGAAUCAUGACAAAAAAAGUAUUUUUCAGGAUGGAUCAAGCUAAUGCGCAGUCCUAAAUGCGCAUCCCUUGUGUCUCACUUCUGAGGCGCGCAUCUCAUUGUUUCUAUAGGAACCGGAGCUUCUAACAGGUGUUAUGAAAUAUUGGGUGUCUGAGAUUUUCGGUGACACUGGGCAGAGCUUACAUGAAUAUUCAAGAGUUUCCUGUUUUGAGUUAAAGCGCCACUGAAAAUGUUAGUGGACUGUCCUUAGAUCACAGAACUGUUUUCUGUAACGUGAUUGUGUUUCUGUGUCGAAUUAAUUUAUGAUUCUUUUUUAUUAAUAACUGUUUAUGUAUGCUCAGUAGUUUGUAGGUUACAUUGUGUCACAAGAUAUACUUUAGUAGUGAUUACAGCCACUGGUGGUCUAUCGUUAGGAAAUGAGCCAACAUUGAGUUUGUUUGUUUUAGUAGGCUACAACUGUUUUGAUUUUAUUUUAGUUCGUUUGAGAAGAUAACUUGUAUAAAUGUAUCUGUGGUUGCAUAAUAAAAGUUUCAGUUGUGAUUGUGUCAUUCCCUAUUGCUUUCUCAGAUAGCCUGCAUAACUUUAACCAGACAUUAUUAUUUUUAACCCUUAUGCGGUCUUCGGGGUCUUUUUGACCCGCAAAUGAUGUUUGCUCAAAUUAAAAAAAAAUGUUCUCUUUGUCCAAAUGGCAUGAGACUUUGUACGGUGGUUUUAAGAUCUACAAAUAAAAAAAAA